UGGCCGGGUGGCUGAGUCAGGCUUAAGGCAUCAGACUUAAGAUCUGCUGGUUUCUUCCGGAACCCCCGCGUUCGAAUCGCGGCCCGGCCGA
rnacentral:tRNA from 1 species